ACGUGCCAGCAGCCGCGGUAAGACGUAGGACGCAAGCGUUAUCCGGAUUUACUGGGCGUAAAGCGUCUGUAGGCGGUUCGAUGAGUUGGGCGUGAAAGCUCCGGGCUUAACCCGGAGAGGUCGUUCAAUACUGUCGAACUAGAGGACAUCAGAGGAGCAUGGAAUUUCCGGUGUAGCGGUAAAAUGCGCAGAUAUCGGAAGGAACACCAGUGGCGGAGGCGGUGCUCUGGGGUGGGCCUGACGCUGAGAGACGAAAGCUAGGGGAGCGAACAGGAUUAGAGACCCUGGUAGUCCUAGCCCUAAACGAUGGAUGCUAGGUGUGGGGCCGAGAAGGCUCUGUGCCGCAGUUAACGCGCUAAGCAUCCCGCCUGGGGAUUACGGCCGCAAGGCUAAAACUCAAACGAAUCGACGGGGCCCCGCACAAGCAGCGGAGCGUGUGGUUUAAUUCGAUGCUACACGAAGAACCUUACCUGGGUUUGACAUGUACGUGGUAGAGAAGCGAAAGCGGAUCGACCCUUCGGGGAGCGUACACAGGUGCUGCAUGGCUGUCGUCAGCUCGUGCCGUGAGGUGUCGGGUUAAGUCCCGUAACGAGCGCAACCCUUGCCCUUAGUUACAAGUGUCUAAGGGGACUGCCGGCGGUAAGCCGGAGGAAGGUGGGGAUGACGUCAAGUCAGCAUGGCCCUUAUAUCCAGGGCUACACACACGCUACAAUGGUCAGUACAAAGGGCAGCGAAGCCGCGAGGUGAAGCGAAUCCCAACAAAGCUGAUCUAAGUUCGGAUUGCAGGCUGCAACUCGCCUGCA
rnacentral:rRNA from 1 species